UACGUAGGUUGCAAGCGUUGUCCGGAAUUAUUGGGCGUAAAGAGCGUGUAGGCGGUCCGGUAAGUCAGCUGUGAAAGUCAAGGGCUCAACCCUUGAAUGCCGGUUGAUACUGUCGGGCUAGAGUCCGGAAGAGGCGAGUGGAAUUCCCGGUGUAGCGGUGAAAUGCGCAGAUAUCGGGAGGAACACCAAUGGCGAAGGCAGCUCGCUGGGACGGUACUGACGCUGAGACGCGAAAGCGUGGGGAGCAAACAGG
rnacentral:rRNA from 1 species